rnacentral:sRNA from 1 species
UAUAUAUAUAUAUAUAUAUAUAUUAUAAAAUAACAGAAUACGAGAAUGCAUGGUCACAUAUGUCAACUAUACUAUUGUAUCCUCAGCUACAUGAAGUAGAUGUAUUGCAUGACCACAUGUCUAAACUAUAUAACGUCAUGUGGUGUUCCAUAGACAUACAAUCUGGUACACCAAUGGUUUGACUCCAGCGAAGACAAACAAUAGCAGGAAUGGACCAGAAAAAAUAUUAAAAAAU